UACAGAGGGGGCAAGCGUUGUUCGGAAUUACUGGGCGUAAAGGGCGCGUAGGCGGCCUUCUAAGUCGAACGUGAAAUCCCCGGGCUCAACCCGGGAACUGCGUCCGAGACUGGAAGGCUCGAAUCCGGGAGAGGGAUGUGGAAUUCCAGGUGUAGCGGUGAAAUGCGGUAGAUAUCUGGAGGAACAUCGGUGGCGAAGGCGGCAUCCUGGACCGGUAUUGACGCUGAGGCGCGAAAGCCAGGGGAGCAAAGCGGG
rnacentral:rRNA from 1 species